rnacentral:rRNA from 1 species
AUUGAACGCUGGCGGCAGGCCUAACACAUGCAAGUCGAGCGGAGCGGCGGACGGGUGAGUAAUGCCUAGGAAUCUGCCUGGUCGUGGGGGAUAACGUCCGGAAACGGGCGCUAAUACCGCAUACUAUCAGAUGAGCCUAGGUCGGAUUAGCUAGUUGGGGGGGUAAAGGCCUACAAAGGCGACGAUCCGUAACUGGUCUGAGAGGAUGAUCAGUCACACUGGAACUGAGACACGGUCCAGACGCCUACGGGAGGCAGCAGUGGGGAAUCUUGCACAAUGGGCGCAAGCCUGAUGCAGCCAUGCCGCGUGAAUGAAGAAGGCCUUCGGGUUGUAAAGUACUUUUAGCGGGGAGGCGUUACCCGAAGAAGAAGCACCGGCUAACUCCGUGCCAGCAGCCGCGGUAAUAC